GUGAGUAGUUCAGAGUUUGAUCCUGGCUCAGGAUGAACGCUGGCGGCAUGCCUAACACAUGCAAGUCGAACGGAGUUAUAUUGAAUGAUUUCUUCGGAAUGAUUUUGAUUUAACUUAGUGGCGGACGGGUGAGUAACGCGUGAGUAACCUGCCUCUCAGAGGGGGAUAACGUUCUGAAAAGAACGCUAAUACCGCAUAUAAUUACGAAACCGCAUGGUUUUGUAAUGAAAGGAGCAAUCCGCUGAGAGAUGGACUCGCGUCUGAUUAGCUAGAUGGUGGGGUAACGGCCUACCAUGGCGACGAUCAGUAGCCGGACUGAGAGGUUGAACGGCCACAUUGGGACUGAGACACGGCCCAG
rnacentral:rRNA from 1 species